rnacentral:lncRNA from 1 species
AAUCAGUCUUGGCUUGUUUUCCCAUAGCCGCUUCUAGAUCAAGAGCAUCCUGGAAAUCUUUAAGAUGUCUUUCCUCAUAUUAUUUUUCUCUGAAAAUUCUGUUUUGCCAUAAAACCUCCUUUUCAUGCCGAACAUGCAUGAGCAGCACGGCAAUCCUGCGCUCCUGUGGGGACUGUCGCAUGAGUCUGCCUAUCAGCCGCUCCUCAUGGUGCCUCCUCCUGUGCUUCGUGGGCAAUGAACUGGGCCAGUAACAACCUCUGCCAUCUUUUUUCCCUGUGCUCUUGUGCAAAAGCCUCGUCAUCUAGGCGCUUCUGGAUUUUUUUUUUUUAAUGUCAUCGUCUAAGAGUUUAACAAGUCGGUAGUUGUAUGGUCUGCUGUAUCUAAGCCAGUAUUGGAUGCACUUUCUUUUGCCUCGAGAUCCUUUUUUUUUUUUUUUUUGGUACCGGGGAUCGAACGAGGGACCUUGAGCUUUCAAGGCAGGUUCUGGAACCACUGAGCUAAAUCCCCGGCCGAUCCUUUUUUAUUAAUGCUUCAAACUUCAUGAUCUCAUCAAUGACAUCUGCUGCCACCUGUUGCUUUUUCAUCAUUUUGGGGGGCCUCAAGUGCUUUCAGAGUGUGAUUGAAUGCAGGUUUAGGAAUUUGUAUGAUAGCUGCUUGGAUGUUGGCCAUUAUUUCACUUUGUUCUCUUCUGUUUAGUGUUGCUCUUGGGAAAUCUCACUUUUCGUGUUUUGAAAUUUUAAGCUUGCCAGAGUCUGUGUGGUUGGUACUUGUACUCUGGUCAGCCAACUUUUCUUCUUUUUCUGAAGAGCAAUGUACACUUGAUAUAGGAGUUUUGUUGCUGCUCCAGGCUUUUCUGUGAUGAUGCUUUGGACCAUAUUGUUAUCAAAUUGCACACCCAGAAGGUGAAGAAGAAUUGGCUCCAAUCAGGAAAGAUUAAGUCUGGCUUUUGAAAUCUUUCUGUCUGAAAAUUCUGAAAAAUCACCCUGUAGUUAAUUUGUGCAGAACUUCUCCAAUCAGCCACUGGAAAAGCCUUUGCAAAUGACUUGGGAUCUGCUAAUCACAGAGAAUGCUGUCUUCAAUUCUUGUGGCGCGAGAUCUUCAUGGGAUGGAGCCAAGCCCGUACACCUAAGACCAAUCAGGGGAUGUUGUCUGCUAUUCUUCUGCAACUUCACGAGAUCAAGUGAAAGCCUGCACCUGAUACCAAUCUUCUGGCAUGCGCUCAAGCCACAGCCCUUCAAUUGAUACUAAUCAAGUGAGAGAGUAAGAGAGAGGCCAGGGAUGUAGCUCAGUGGAGCUGCACCUAGCCUGCACAGUGAAUCAAACUGAAGGGCUUGCAAAUACAAAGCAUACACUCUCACUGAACCAAAUCCCCAGAAUCCCCAGGGGGUGGGGGGUUGUAGUUCCCUCCCAAGCUCCUCUCUGCUCUUUCUGCUUCCAGGCUGCAGUGAAGUGAACAGCUUUCCUUCUCCCCAGGGGCUUUCCACCAUACUGUUUCUGCCUGAGAACCAGCAGACUAUGGAC